GCGCGGGCGGCGGCAUGGAUGGAGCGGGCGUUCUGUGCGGUGUGUUCCGUCUUCUCGGCGCGGACCGCAUUCCCGUGGAUGUUCGCCCUCAGGGGCGGGGCUCGACACGAAAAGCAUCCGUGGACCUCAAGUUUGAGGUGAAACCAGGCUCAGGGGCCACCUGUCCUCGCUGAUCCAUGGAUUUCUGUGUGACCAGGUUACACCUAUGGAGCCGUGGCCCCGACUACCAACAGCUUGCUCAUCCCUCUACUCACACAGUCACCCGUCCCCUCACUCUCAUUUAUGCUUCACCUGUGAAUGGUGGUCCUGAGACAGCCAGUGCUGGAGCCCGUGUGAGCCUCGGGGCUCCUCCCACUCUG